AUGAAACAGUGCAGUUUGAUAAGAGCUAGCGAAAAAGAAUCAAGCACGAACGUAAAGAAAAGUGGAGACUCGAGGCUUAUCGAUGUUGCGGAGAAUGAAGGUAUUGCGGUUGAAGCGUUGGUGCGUGAAGACGAUGAUGGAAGUGAUGUUGAGGCUCGAAGGUUGGUUAUGGUGAUGAUGGUGGAUUGUUUCUGCAUAAUGAAGGUGAGAGAGAAGUCGCGGAAGGAGUUUUCAAGGAAAAGAGAUUGGUGA